rnacentral:rRNA from 1 species
GACGAACGCUGGCGGCGUGCUUAACACAUGCAAGUCGAACGGAAAGGCCCUGCUUUUGUGGGGUGCUCGAGUGGCGAACGGGUGAGUAACACGUGAGUAACCUGCCCUUGACUUUGGGAUAACUUCAGGAAACUGGGGCUAAUACCGGAUAGGAGCUCCUGCUGCAUGGUGGGGGUUGGAAAGUUUCGGCGGUUGGGGAUGGACUCGCGGCUUAUCAGCUUGUUGGUGGGGUAGUGGCUUACCAAGGCUUUGACGGGUAGCCGGCCUGAGAGGGUGACCGGCCAAAUUGGGACUGAGAUACGGCCCAGACUCCUACGGGAGGCAGGAGGGGGGAAUAUUGCACAAUGGGCGGAAGACUGAUGCAGCAACGCCGCGUGCGGGAUGACGGCCUUUGGGUUGUAAACCGCUUUCGCCUGUGACGAAGCGUGAGUGACGGUAAUGGGUAAAGAAGCACCGGCUAACUACGUG